rnacentral:rRNA from 1 species
GAAAGCGAUGCUAAUACCGGAUAAUAUCUCUUAAACUUCGGUUAAAGAGAUCAAAGGUGGCCUCUCCUUGGAAGCUACUGUUUGGGGAUGAGCCCGCGUACCAUUAGCUUGUUGGUAGGGUAAAAGCCUACCAAGGCAACGAUGGUUAGCUGGUCUGAGAGGAUGAUCAGCCACACUGGAACUGACACACGGUCCAGACUCCUACGGGAGGCAGCAGUGAGGAAUUUUGCGCAAUAGGGGAAACCCUGACGCAGCAACGCCGCGUGAGUGAUGAAGGCUUUCGGGUCGUAAAGCCCUGUCAAGUGGGAAGAACCUGUAUGAUGCUAAUAUCAGCAUACACUGACGGUACCACUGAAGGAAGCACCGGCUAACUCCGUGCCAGCAGCCGCGGUAAUACNGGGGGUGCAAGCGUUAUUCGGAAUUACUGGGCGUAAAGAGCGCGUAGGCGGGUCUCUUAAGUCAGGUGUGAAAGCCCCGGGGCUCACCCCCGG